AAUACUGUUUACUUUUUCGGUAUUGAAACCCAUUUCUGUAAUUAAUAUCAAAUGAUUGACCUCUGUUGGUAUUCUCAGCAUAUCUAGUAUUUCGCGCAUUUGCUCCAGCAUUUGCUAUAUGAUUUUCGUUAUUAUAAUUUUGUCUGAAAUUAUUAUUUUGUUGAGAGUGAUUGAAAUUUCCUGCUUGAUUAUUUAUGUGGUUUGGCUCAGAAGUAACUAAUUGAAUGUGGUGCAAACAUUAAUAAGACAGUCCUCUUCCACAAUCUACACCGGCUACCUGGGCGCCGCGACGAGCGGUGCUGUCAACUCAACCCAGCAAGCAGCCGGGUGAAGAGGAGGCUAGUUUUCGAGGACAAGACCGUGCUCACUCAAUCAAAGAAACGAGUGCUGGAAGAGGACAGCUUGAUCGUGCCUCUCUUGAGGGAGGAGGAGGAAGUGGAGACAGAGGACGAGAUGCAAUCGGAGAGCUUUCUGAGAUUAUUGAAUAGCCACGUCGAGAAGCCAUGGACGCCUCUCCGCGAGUUGGAAGAGGGGUUGCCAUAUCCGAUAUGUGACAUGAGAGAGGCGUCCAACCAGCACGGGCGGCGAAUUGUGCUCAAAAUCCGGGUACCCGGACUAUGUACAACAGAUGUUUAUCUUCCAGAAAGAUUUACCCGGAUUUUGAGCACAAAAGACAUUGAAAAUUUUAAAUUAAAGUGCAAAACCUUAUCUCUGUUUGUAAAGCAUGUUAAUGCUUUUAUGACUGACAU